rnacentral:misc_RNA from 1 species
GUUUUUGUGCUAUGAGAAAUGGUGGCCAAUUUGCCUAUGAUUAUAAUGGGAUAUUGUUGAGAGGCAAACCGUUAGUAUUCGAAUGUGGACCACAUUGUCGAUGUCCUCCAACUUGUCGGAAUAGAGUGACUCAGAAAGGUUUGAGGAACAGAUUUGAGGUGUUUCGGUCUAGAGAGACUGGUUGGGGAGUUAGGUCACUGGACUUGAUCCAAGCUGGGUCCUUU